GAGUUUGAUCCUGGCUCAGGACGAACGCUGGCGGCGUGCCUAAUACAUGCAAGUCGAGCGAAUCACUGGGAGCUUGCUCCCUGAGAUUAGCGGCGGACGGGUGAGUAACACGUGGGUAACCUGCCUGUAAGACUGGGAUAACUCCGGGAAACCGGGGCUAAUACCGGAUAAUAUCUAGAAUCGCAUGAUUCUAGAUUGAAAGAUGGUUUCGGCUAUCACUUACAGAUGGACCCGCGGCGCAUUAGCUAGUUGGUGAGGUAACGGCUCACCAAGGCAACGAUGCGUAGCCGACCUGAGAGGGUGAUCGGCCACACUGGGACUGAGACACGGCCCAGACUCCUACGGGAGGCAGCAGUAGGGAAUCUUCGGCAAUGGACGAAAGUCUGACCGAGCAACGCCGCGUGAGUGGAGAAGGUUUUCGGAUCGUAAAACUCUGUUGUUAAGGAAGAACAAGUACGAGAGUAACUGCUCGUACCUUGACGGUACUUAACCAGAAAGCCACGGCUAACUACGUGCCAGCAGCCGCGGUAAUACGUAGGUGGCAAGCGUUGUCCGGAAUUAUUGGGCGUAAAGCGCGCGCAGGCGGUUCCUUAAGUCUGAUGUGAAAGCCCACAGCUCAACCGUGGAGGGUCAUUGGAAACUGGGGAACUUGAGUGCAGAAGAGGAGAGUGGAAUUCCACGUGUAGCGGUGAAAUGCGUAGAGAUGUGGAGGAACACCAGUGGCGAAGGCGACUCUCUGGUCUGUAACUGACGCUGAGGCGCGAAAGCGUGGGGAGCGAACAGGAUUAGAUACCCUGGUAGUCCACGCCGUAAACGAUGAGUGCUAAGUGUUAGAGGGUUUCCGCCCUUUAGUGCUGCAGCAAACGCAUUAAGCACUCCGGCUGGGGAGUACGGUCGCAAGACUGAAACU
rnacentral:rRNA from 1 species